UAUAAAACCUCUUUGUAAAAUGUCAUUACAUGUACCCUGAAAGGCAAAUUGAUAUUUUCAUUUUCAAUAAAACAUAAACGCGACCUCAGGUCGUGCCCCAAGUGAACCGUCUGUUUGUUUGUAUGGAAAUUAUAUGAAAAUUGCACUUGAAACUUUGUCUUGAGCUGGCUGCCACUUGCAGUUGAAAGUUUUUCUGUAUUGCUGCCGUCCUGCAUCUUUUUUCCGGAAAUUAUUGAUAGUCCCGUCUAAAGUUACGAAGAAAUUUCAAUUUUAAAUGGAAUCAAAGUCAAAGUGUAUAAAUAAAAUAAAAUCAUCUGCACAAAUCCAGCAGUCAAGUGCCUUCGAACUCGCCACGGGGGGCCAAAGGGUCAAGGGGGUAAAGUUUCGUUCAUGUGGUUUCCCAGUGGAAUACAAGAAACCCUAUAUAACCACUAUAUAUGCACGGUACAUGGCGAUUCAAGCACUUUGCCAUUGUGUACAUUCCUCACUUGUCCGACAUUCCGGGUCAACAAAUAGCGAAAGGCUUGCCUUCGCUUGAGAAGGGUUCCCUAAAUCAGUAGAUAUCAAAGGAUGUUACAGGCAUUUGCAUUCGAGGCACUUAAAUUUUAAAUACCAAUGAAAAACCCCGCGAAAAGUUCGUUGAACCAGACGUGGCAAGUUUCUCUCCGAAGAUGGCUUGAUUAAUUGACGAUGACCUGGCUAAAGACUUAAUGCCGAACUUCCGUGCGAGUGGCAGAUAUACUUAUUAUAUCAAUUAAGGGUCGGACCGCCACUUUCCAUCAUCCAUUCAACUUAAUGUGCAAUAAUGAGUGUCAUGUAAUGCCAGACGCGUUCGAUUCGAAUUGCCAACCAACCGACAAACAAACAAAACCCAACUCAACUCAAACAGCAGCUGCAGUGGCGGCUAUAGGAAAAUAAAAGAGAAAAACCCAAUGCAGUAUUAGCAACGACAACAAAUUAACAUUUUUCAAAACUUUAAAGCCCCGACAUGCGUUGACACUUUCGGGGAAAAUUGCGUACAAUUUCAAAUGCAGGCACAAAACUUUACGCGUAAUUACGACACUGGGGAAAACAGGAGGAAAAUAUAAAUGGCAAUAA